CCCCGUGUAGCUCAGUUGGUAGGGCAUGGUGUUUGCAACGCCAGGGUUGUGGGUUCGAUUCCCACGGGGG
rnacentral:tRNA from 1 species